UACGUAGGGUCCGAGCGUUUGUCCGGAAUUACUGGGCGUAAAGAGCUCGUAGGUGGUUUGUCGCGUUGUUCGUGAAAACUCACAGCUUAACUGUGGGCGUGCGGGCGAUACGGGCAGACUUGAGUACUGCAGGGGGAGACUGGAAUUCCUGGCGUAGCGGUGGAAUGCGCAGAUAUCAGGAGGAACACCGGUGGCGAAGGCGGGUCUCUGGGCAGUAACUGACGCUGAGGAGCGAAAGCGUGGGGAGCGAACAGG
rnacentral:rRNA from 1 species